CACGUAGGGCGCAAGCGUUGUCCGGAAUUAUUGGGCGUAAAGAGCUCGUAGGCGGUCUGUUGCGUCCGCUGUGAAAACUCGGGGCUUAACCCCGAGCCUGCAGUGGAUACGGGCAGACUAGAGGUAGGUAGGGGAGAAUGGAAUUCCCGGUGUAGCGGUGAAAUGCGCUGAUAUCGGGAGGAACACCGGUGGCGAAGGCGGUUCUCUGGGCCUUACCUGACGCUGAGGAGCGAAAGCGUGGGGAGCGAACAGG
rnacentral:rRNA from 1 species